AUGUGCAUUGGUGUUUUGCCUGCAUGUAUAUCUGUGUGAGGCUGUUGGAUCCUCUGGAACUAGGGUUACAGACAGUUGUGAAUUGCCAUGUGGACGCUGGGAAUUGAACCUCUGUCCCCUGGAAGAGCAGCCAUGGCUCUUAACCACUGAGCGAUCUCUCCAACCCCCUAGGCUCAAUUUCUAAUGCCUUUCCUCAAAAGUCUUAUUCUCAGAUGUGAAAAUAAACCAGCAACAGCUUUAAUUACAGGUCUUUCUUGUCUGGAGGUAUUGGUUGGAUACGUCUGCCAUAACAGGACAUCAGGGACUGGAUGUUGGAUGACAGAGUGACCUUAAGCAGCAGAGAUGUUUCCCUCAGAGCUGGGAAGGUGUCAGUGAGCUAGAUUCUCUCAAGAUCAGACAGGAUCGAGUGGAUUCAGGGUGUGCGUCUGUAAAUGCCUUGGUUCUUCGUGAGGCCCCUCAUGGUGUGGUCACUUUUCUGUUUCUUUCCCAUGCUGAGGAAUCACACCUAGGGCCUCCAGCUUGGUAAACAGGUGCCCUUCCACCCUCUAACUCAUGGGGAUAGCAUUGACAUUUUCUGUUAAUGUACAUCCCUGGUGUGCCUGUCGAGAUUCCCUCUUAGAAAGACUCCGUUCUGACUAGAUUAGGGCCUGUGUGAAGUAGCUUGACCUUCAUUAUCUCCUUACAAGCCUCACCUCAAAAUAUCCUCACAGUUGCAUCAUGGGAUGCAUGCUGCAGUGUAGACAGUUCGGACAGCCUGUUUUUCCAGCCCAUCACAAUACACGUCAUUUCUAUAGUGCUACGUCUAGGGAACAAUUGCCACAGUACCAGUGAGGUCAGAGGACAGACCUCCUUGGGAAGCAGGUUCUCCUUCCAGCCCUGUUGGCGUGGGUUGUGAGCCACCAGUCAUUCAGAUCACCCAACUUGGCAGCACGCGUCUUGACCCCUCUCUGUGGGUUUUGGUUUGGAUUGGUUUGGUUUGGUUUGGUCAACACUCAGGGUUAAAACUGGUCACUGAACCAGGUGUCCCAGCAGACCCACCUUUUGGUCACGCCCCAGUGACAUUACCUGACCACUACCUGUAGAGACUGUUAUGGAGAAAAGGUGGGCUCUCCUCUGACCAGGUUUUCAUACCUAGUAGCAAACAAGGCAGUGGGGUAGCCACAAUGUAUCCAUAGCCAGACUGCUCUUUUGGUUUUCUCACACUCGUGGGCGGGUUGGGGAGAGUGCUGUUGUUUCUCCGAGAAGUCCUGCUUCUGACGUAACCAACAUCGAUCAGGAAGGAGAAAGGCAGCAGGGACUGGGGAGAUGGAUGGCUCCGUGGUAAACGGCUUUCUCUGCCCUGAAGACUUGAGUUUGUAUCCCUACCACCGGCAUAAGCUGGCCCUGCUUGCCUGUAUCCCUAAGGCUAGGAGGACAGAAUAGAGGCAAGAGAGUCCCGGGGAGCUCACUGGCCAGACGGGCUGUUUGGUUGAUGAGCUCCGGGCAUAGGGAGUGACCUUGUCUCAGAAAAAUUAAGUAGAGCUGGGCAGUGGUGGCGCACGCCUUUAAACCCAGCACUCGGCAGGCAGAGGCAGGCGGAUCUCUGUGAGUUCGAGACCAGCCUGGUCUACAAGAGCUAGUUCCAGGACAGACUCCAAAACCACAGAGUAACCCUGUCUCGAAAAACCAAAAAAAAAAAAAAAAAAAAUUAAGUAGAGGCGCCAGGAAGAUGGCUCGACAGUUACAUGCCCUUGCAGAGAACCUGGGUUCCGUUCCCAGCAUUCCACAGGGUGUCUCACAACCGUUUGUUUCUAACUGUCCUUCCAGGGAAGCUAACACCUGCCCUCUUCUGAACUCUGCAGGUGCCAGUCAUGCCUGUAACGAUCACCUCAAAUUAACCUGUAAACCCCACCUGCCCAAGGACCAGGAUCAACUCGGAUGACAAAGGCCCUAAUCAAAGCGUCGCUGGAGCCCAGCUAAUAGACGGAUCAUCUCUUACCCCCCAGUGCAGCCCUUACUAAUAACCUCGGAGAAAUAAUGUUGAAACAGCCUGCUGCCUGGCCAUGACGUGCCCUGACAGAGCCUCCCUGCUGCAUCUGCAGGCUGCUUCCCCGACCCCAUGAGCUCCUCACAGCUUCAUCUCAGGCCUCGUGACGUGGCUCGUUUCUGCUUCAGAAUCAUGACACCCGUGGGAGGAAGAUGCUGUUGGCGGCCAGACAGGAACCUCCUGUGCACAGCAUCUUGCCCCCAGAACCCCAGAAGGAACUUUGAGGAUUCCAUCUGAGACGGUGAUUGAGGGAGGGGAACAAGUUUGAGACCCUUUUCACCAAAGGAGAUGGUGACGGUGACCAGACAAAGUUGCCCAAGCCGUAACUGGGCUGGGAAAGAUGCGCACGGGAAGAUAGAACACGCGGAGAUCAAGGGUCACAGGGAACCUGCCUCACUGAGCUGGUGUCCCUCCGCUCACACGUGUGCCUCAUGCUCAUACUGCACGGGACAAGAGGUCAAAUCAGCACGGUCUCCAUGAGCCUGGGGUCACUGGGAGGACUCGUCCAGCUGAGCAGCCAUCCUUCAGGAGAGCCGUGCUUGGCCAAACCUCUGUCACCAAGGAGUGUCUCCACUGGAGUGGGUGGAGCUUCUCGGGAAGAGCAAGUGCUGCUGCUUUGUCUGUUUUAUUCAAAACUGGGGAUUGGCCCCAGGGAAGGAUUUCCUGUAGUUAAUCUGGUGUCUAGGUGUAGAUGAGUUUGACAUGGAUGGUGUAGAGAAUAAACUCCUUCAGGUUAGAAGGGACAAAGACUCAGCUUCUGCAGGUAGUUGACUUUGUUGAAAAGAAACACAUGCAUGGGCAGUUGUAGGCAGAGGCUGCUCGGCUGUUUCCCAGGCCCGAAAUAAUCACACAGGAGCUGUAUUAAUUAAAACACUGUUUGGCCUGUUAGCUCGGGCUUCUUAUUAACUAACUCUUACAUCUUAGGUAAUUUUAAUAAUAGAAUUAACCCAUUUCUAUUAUUUGAUAUUUUAUCAUGAGGCUCGUAGUUUACCAGUAAUGUUCUAGGUGGGUGUCUUUCUCCUUCAGCCACUACAUGGCGUCUCUCUGACUCUGUCUUUUUUCUCCCAGCAUUCAGUUUAGUUUCCCAGCCUAGCUAUAUUCUGCCCUGCCACAGGCCAAAUCAGCUUCUUUAUUAACCAAUGAUAAUAAAACAUAUUCACAGAAUACAGAGGGGAAUCCCACAUCAGGCAACUCUACUACAAUCAGGAAAAUACAUAAUUCAAGUUACUUCUUAAGAUGAAUUUUUGUUUGGGUUGCCAGCUCACAAAAGAAUGACACCGAAACUUGUUAUUAAUUAUGAAAGCUUGGCCUAUAGCUUAGGCUUGUCCCACUAGCUCUUAUAACUUAACUUAUUUUUGUUCAUUUACAUGCUGCCACAUGACUCGUGGCUUUUACCUGUCCUCCCGCACAUCUUGCUCCCUCUGUAUCUGGCUUGUAAUCUCACCUUUCGUCUUCCCAGAGUUCUCUCUGUGUCCUGACGUCCUGCUUAUACCUCCUGCCUAGCUAUUGGCUGUUUAGCUUUUUAUUAAACCAAUCACACAUCUUCACACAGUAUAAAGGAAUAGUCCAGAAGCAAAUAUUCCUAUUGAAGAAAGAAGCAAUCAACGGCAAGCAAAUGUGAGAAAUUUUGCAACCCACGGUUGUGUGCCUUUGAACCGCCCUAUGACAAGCCGAAGCUGCAGAGUCAGGCGCCCUCUGCUGCCGGCUGCAGGAAUCUUAGCCCGUGUGAGACAGCUUUGCCUUCUCUCUCUCUGCUCUGGCUACUUCUGUUUCCACUCAGUGCUAAGCUUAGUUGCCACAAGGGAUCUGAGUGCUUGAUGUUGACAUUUUCUCCUAGUUCCGGGCUGCCAAUGAUUAAGUUCCUGUCCAGACCAUGAUCAAAGAGCCCACAGAGAGGACCUACAGAGUCUUCCAGCUUUUGAGUAGAGAGGAAGGUCAAAAGAUGCCUCCUAGCCCCAGACAAAUCUAGGCGAUGAUCAAGGGGAGAUGACAGUGCCUGGUCUUAUAGUAGUACCUGCUAUGAUGCGGUGUGAGAUUGGAGCUUGGUUCCCACAGUGGGUGAGAGACAGACACGCCAUACAGACCAAGCUUAUGUGGAAAGUUUAUUGAGAGAAAGGGAA